rnacentral:rRNA from 1 species
UACGUAGGGUGCAAGCGUUGUCCGGAAUUAUUGGGCGUAAAGAGCUCGUAGGCGGUCUGUCACGUCGGCUGUGAAAACCCGAGGCUCAACCUCGGGCCUGCAGUCGAUACGGGCAAACUAGAGUACUGCAGGGGGAGACUGGAAUUCCUGGUGUAGCGGUGAAAUGCGCAGAUAUCAGGAGGAACACCGGUGGCGAAGGCGGGGUCUCUGGGCAGUAACUGACGCUGGAGGAGCGAAAGCGUGGGGGAGCGAACAGG